CAGAAGCAGCCCACAGAGCAGACCUGUGCUGGGAGGAGAGCUCCAGCAACCAGAGCCGGAGGGGCCAGAGAAGCAGCCCAGGGAGCUGGAGGUAGAGCAGCAGCAGCAGCAGUAGCAGUGCUGAGGCAGAGUGGAGCUGGAGCUGAGACAGAGUAGAGCUGGAGCUGGGGCUGGAGCAGUCUGGAGAAAGGUGCAGUGAGGAGCUGGCGAGAGUGAGGGGGACCCUUGCCAGUGGGCCCAGCACAGGGAGAUGCCCCAGCCAACACGCCUUCCAGGCCAGACUUGGAGGGGGAUCGUAACCCUGAUGGGGCAGAUGAUACUGGGAAGAAGGGUCCUGCCACCUAGAGCCUGAGAGCGUGUGGCCACCACUAGAGCAAGUGUCUGACUCGCAGCAUCCCUGCAGCACAGCCAGGGCCUGAGAAGGGGCCUGGGACUUGUGAGGAACAGACUGAACUUUGCUGACAUUCCAGAGAUGCUGGUUGUGACGUCCCCGUGCCACAGAGCGGGGUGAUGUGUUUUCCUUUAUCCUUUCCCAUUUUUUCCUUAUUUUUUUUAAUCGAUUGUUGUUUAAUAAAUUGUAUUUGCUUUGAACUAUAUGUAAUGAUCAAUGGGUCAGGGAAGCAUCCAGUGCAGAGAGAGUACCCCGGAGUGGGGACACCCUAGCCCCUGCCCUAAGUGACCACAACAAGUUUGGGGGUUGAGCCCCCCAGGAAUCCUGGGCCCAGCCUUGUUGGGGUUACGAGGACUCUGCCACAGGGGAAAGUGGAGGGAGAGCUCUCGAGGUCAGGCAGGCUUCUGGGUAAAGGAAAUGGGAGCGAGGACUCCGAUCCUUUUGCUAGCCCACUUCACCGGGGUAGUAUAUAAGCCAGGAAAGUUCCCCACAAUAGCGGGACCAUUCCCCCGCUUACAUUUGCAAGCCCCUGAGCUGAUGGGUCACUGGGGCUUCACCCAGGUGUCAGUGCCCAGCUGGGAUGCUGAACUUGCAGGACCAGGGUUUGUUUGUCUAAGGAGUGAUAUUAAAGUCACACAAGCUAAAAAUUGGGUUAAACUGGAAGGCCUGAUUCUCAUUUACACUAAGGCUUCUCUGGCAGUGUGCCUGGGCCUUAAUGCUAGCAGUGUAAUCAACUCUCAUGCUUUCAUCAUGUGGUUCAUGAUAUUUCAUAUGUUUCCUAAAGCCCCAGCUCCUGAAAUCAAGUGAUAAGGGGAGACUCCUGCCUUGCAUUUUCUAAACAAAAAUUUCUAGACCUUGUGGCUGCAGAGAAAAAAUUAAAAAUAUGGCUGAAGUUCAGCCUAAAAGUCUGAGAAAUGAGAAGGAAAAUAAAAAGAACCCAACACUUAUUAUGAACUAGUAUUUUGGUUUUUAAAUUUAAUUAUUUUAAGGUAAUUUCAUCAUUUUCAGGGGUCUGUCUCAGUGACUCCUGAUUUUUAAAUGAUUGACAGUGGGGUGCCAAUGAGAAUUGAGGCCUUAUAUUUCUAUCAGCUACCCAUGGUAAGCCCCCUAAAGAAGUGCCAUCAUUUGUCUAAAACAGCACAGGCAAUAGAAAGGGAAAUAGAGAGGCCAAGCCAUGGGAAUGCACUUGGAGCUAGGCUGUGGACCCAAGCAACAAAUGAGCACAGCCCCCCUGAACUUGGGCUGAACUCAAAAGAUAAAGGAGAAUGUUCACUUUUAUAUUUAGGUCCUUAGAGCCUUAGCUGGAGAAGACAGGCUUGAAUACACAAACUGACCAAUGCCAAUGCAGGAUUGCCAGCACCAAGGGCUCAGAACUCUUGAGACUGGCUGUAGGCAUCAAGAGAAUUAUUUUCCUAAAACCAUCACACAUUGAACUUUUUGUUUGUUUGAAUGCGAGGGAUGAGUUUCACUCUGAUCAUGUGAGUUUGUCUGUUCAUUUGUUUGUUGUGUGCUUGCUGCUUACCGUGUACCUGCAUGAUUGAAGUUUAUAAAAAUAUAAGAACGGCCAGAUAGGGUCAGACCAAAGGUCCAUCUGGCCCAGUAUCCUGUCUUCUGACAGUGGCCAAUGCCAAGUGCUUCAGAGGGAAUGAACAGAAGAGGUAAUUAUCAAGUGAUCCACCCCCGGUCGCCCAUUCCCAGCGUCUGGCAAACAGAGGCUAGGGACACCAUCCCUGCCCAUAGUAUAGUGUUGUCUGUUUGGGGGGCUGUGUGCUGAGCCUAGUGACCUGCUAGGCCAGGCUGGGGCUUCUUAAUGAGGCUCUAGCCUGCCAUCCUUUGAUCCCUAAUUCCUUUAGCAUUCCUUAACAAAAGGGAAAGGCUAACUCAGGGAGAACAGGGGUUUAAAAAGCCAGCUCUUAAGUGACCAGAGGAGCUAGUGAACAGGAGUUUAGUGAGGGAAUGUGAGAGCCAUUUUCUAAACUCAUUCUCUACACUUAGGCCAAUAAACAACCCCCAUAAAACAAAACAAAAAACCAAAAAGCUACAGGAGUAAAAAGAAUUCAGGCAGCCAUCCAGCAGCAGAGAGGGGGCUGUCCAGUUGAUUGAACUGAAUGCAGCAUGUGUGAUUACCAACGUUGUGGUGUAUAUGCACAUUGGGUGCAAGCAGCUCAUGGCCCUCAGAGACCGAGUACCGGCACUUUAGGCCAGAGUUUGGUUGCCAAUUUUAGUUGGACAUAUUCCUGGAGGUUCCAUCACAUGACAUCAUCUUUAAUUAAAGAUUUAUCUUUAAUUCCUGGAGACUCCAGGACAACUUUGGAGGGUUGGCAGCCCUAGGCCAGAGUGGUUGAACUGGAGGAGCUAAGGGAGACAGAGAGGUGCAGAGAAAAGACUUCCUGGGACAAAGUGGAGCAGUCCCACCCCUAGUCUGACAGCCUCUGUGCUGUUGUGGAGGAGGAAACUCGUGGGGAAGUAGGACAUCAAGCUGGAGCUGAGGGAAACCGAUGAUGUCAGGGUAUCCUCUCGCACUGAAGAUACUCCUCCAGGAAAUGGAAUCCCAGUUAUUAGGAAGAGACGGGAAAUAGUAAUGGGGGAUUCUAUCAUUAGAAACAUAGAUAGCUGGGUGUGUGAUGACUGGGAGAGCCACAAUGUGAACUGCCUGCCAGGUGAGAAGGUUGCUGAUCUCUCAAGACCUCUAGACAGAUGUAUAUGAGAUGUUGGGGAGGAGCCUGUGGUUGUCGUACAUGUCGAUGCCACUGGCAUAGGGAAAGGUAGGAGAAACAUCCUGGAAGCCAAAUCUAGGCUGCUAAGAAAAUCCAGAACCUCUAUGGUAGUGUUGUAAGGUCUGAGGGGAGACCUUCUUUUGCAGUUAAAACAACAGCUAUGAGCUAAGUUGCAGAGAGUCACAUCCUCACAUUCCAUCUAUUGCACCAAAACAAUGUAAUAUCUGACUGUUAAGAAGGCACUCCUGUCCUAAUAGUACUCACCAUCACCAGAUAAAGAAAGAGAUCUUAAGAUGUUUAAAGAAAACUUUGUUUGAUAGCAUUCUGUCUGGCAAGAAACCACUUAUCAAUAUUGUGACUGUGAAAUCUGUUCUUCUUUUUGUUUUGCCUUUAUGGCCCCUACUUCUCUAUUGUUUAUCUGUCUGGGCUCUGUCUGAUUCUUUAAUUGUUUCUGUCUGCUGUGUAAUUGGUUUCACAACACUUGAAUUAACUCUUGUAUGUAAAAGGUGGUAGGCUAGGGUUUGUGAAAAAUACUGUUUUGUAGUACUUUAUUUUAAAAUGAUUGGUUAUGGUACAGCUAAGUAGGACCUAGAUUUUACUAUAUAAACUGCAGUCCAAAAAGAAGUUCUUUGGCAAUCUAACUCCAUUACACAGUCCAAGACCAAAGCCACCAGAACUUGAUAAACUGAAUGACCAUUCCAUGCAGAAGCCAAAGACGGAGCUCCAAGGCGAUUCAAUCCUGACUGGACAUCAGGAGAAGCUCAUCUGCCUUAGUGGGAAUGACCCAUGUGGUUGGGGAGCACAAGUCCACGUAUGUUUGGGGACCUUGCUGAGUCUCCAGGCCAGGCUGAGAAAUUCCCCUGGUGUGGCCUCAUGCAGGAACAUGGGAGCCAUGCAGGGUCAAAGACACUGGUAUGUUAGAGGCUGGAGAAGCUAAUUUCAUGAGACCUGAAGCCAUGUGCCACCCACUGCCUCAGGAAUAGAGAGUGAGCUGGGAACCUACACCCCAGACCCAGAAGAAAGGGCAGAUUCUCUCCCCCGUGAAUGAGGUUGGUGGGAAAGUGAAGACUGGGGCCUCGCUAUCAGCACUGAAAAAUGCCACCUGCCCCUGUUCACAGUCCAGAGACACCUGGAUCCUCCCGGGGACCUGGCUCAGAGACAGGGGGGGUUGGAGGGGAGGGGAGAGCCUGGAACUGAAACCCCCACCUCUGCACAGCCCAGACCCCCCCCCCAUCAGGUGCCGCACUGAGCUCCUCCUUUCUCUUCACAGACUCUCUGUCCACCUCUACCUCCCAGCAAUGUCUCCCUGAGGUGAAUCCCUCACAGCGCAGCACACAAGGAGACGAAUCAAAUCUCUGGGGAUGUUCAGGGUGGUUCAGCCGUAUGACGUCCUAGGUCAAAAUUUUCCAAACCACAGACAGGGGGAGCCAGGGAUGAGCCGUGUCUGGAUCCAGAGUCACACUCGCUGGGGAGAGAAGCAGAGCGCUUCAGGCAGAGCUCAGCCCCCACAGGAGAGCCUGGCCCCAAGGGAAGGUUCUCGGGGAAAGCCCCUCACCCAGGAGAAGGGGGAAAAGUGUGACAUUUCUGAGCAACAUCUCUGCUCCAUUUUCCUCAUUAAAUACAAAAAAGGAACCUGGGGUGGGAUUUUCAGGAACACCUAAGGGCACAAGGCCCAUUGGGACUUGACUUGUGCUACCGACUCUCUUAGAUGCUCCUGACAAUCCCACCCAGAAAUGUCCAUGAGCAGUGCCGGGGCAGAGUAAAGGGUGUUUGGGGGUCAGUCGGUGAGAUGGUUUCUUUGUAUUCUGGGUGUGUGAACUGGUUGCUCAGGCUGAUGUUGGGAUCUUUGGUGCACAAUGAAGCCAGGCCCCCACUCAGCUCGAUGGGACAUUUCUGCGCCUGUCACACGAUGGCUUUGGAGAACAUCCGCUCAGUUCCGGACCCGAUGGGCCUGGUCGAGGCACAAACGGGUAGAACCCUGCUGACUUUGGGGACAAUCAGAAAACUGGAAAAGCCCAAUUUCCACUAAAGUCGGGUCCACAGAGGCCUAGGAUGAUGUGGGCAGAGGAAUCUCUCUGGCUCCCCCUGCUGAUGUCUAUAUGUAUGACAAGUAGCUGCUAGGAGGGUUCGCACACUGCAUUGCUUAUGUAGGCUGAGCUGUAUGACCAGCUGGGCCCUUCUCCCCUAAUACAACCCAUCACCACAGCCAGGCCCCUACCCUCACUAUGCACAGCCCCCCAGCCAGUCCCCCUAUCACCCCGAGCCAGUCCCCUCACUCCCACCCUGUCCCGAAUGCCCUCCAACCAUGCCCCUCGUCCCCAUUCUGAUCAGCCAUCACAGCCAUGCCCUUAAGCCCUGUCAUAACUAUAAAGGGAAGGGUAACAGCUCUCCUGUGUACAGUACUAUAAAAUCCCUCCUGGCCAGAGACUCCAAAAUCCUUUUCAAGCCCCCCCUCCAAUCAACAUCCCCAUAGGUGGGUCUCACCUCACACUGUUCAGGCCCCCUAACUGGAGCCUUCAUUCCCUCCCCACUCUGGCUAGCCACCACAAACUGGGCCCCUAACUGUGCACCCCAGCCAGCCCUCCUAGCCACUUUGGCUAGCCCCAAUAACCAAGUCUCCAUUUGCACUGGAAAGCUGGAUAACACACAGAGCUCGGCCUACAUGAGCAAACGUGUGACAAACUAGUGUGCAAUCGUACCUUGUAGUUUCCUUAGAAUCUAAUCAUUUUUAUAUUGUUUUAGUGUGCUGUGUAAUUCUUUCUUUCUUUCUAGUAACUUUAACUACAAAUUAACAAAGAUAUUUUGGAGGGGAAGUGUCUUUCCUUCUAAUUUAAUA